GCCUCCUGCUGCCAUCAUGGGACCCAAGCUGCUACAGCUGAGGAGCCGGCAGGCCCUCCCUUGGCCUACCUUCUGUGAUAGUGCUCAAAGUCAGGAGGGGGCCGAGGUGGCAAAGGGCUGGCGUGUCAGCCCCACCCCGAGCGCACGCAUACCCGGCCAGGUUACCACAGCACCCGGACUCGGCCUCAACUUUUCUCCGAAAUCGGAGCGGGCGCCAAGAACAGAUACAGGCCAGGUAGCAGGAGCAGGCAUUUCCGAGCCUGUGGGGGAGGCUGCACCCAGGCGGGCAGGGCUCGUGCCACGCCAGCUCCGACCCGGGCAGGGCUCCCGCCUGUUCCCGGCUCCUGCCAACUCCAUGGAGUUACAGCCUUGGCCGUGCCUCCCCUGCUGCUGCCAGCGUCUUCACAGUGGCCGCUCCUGACGGCUGCCGCUGCCAUCACUUGGAAUGCUACGUUUAAAAGCCAGAUGGAAAGGACUACAUACUCUAUGACUCCGUUUAUAUGAAAGGCCCCAAAAAGGCAAAUUUAUAGAGACAGAAAGCAGCUUGGUGGUUGCCUGGGGCUGGAGAAGGGGAUGGAGACUAAUGUAAACGGAUACAAAGGAACUUUUUGGGGUGAAGAAAAUGCUCUAAACCUAGAUAGUGAUGAUGACUGCACAACUCCAUACAUUUACUGAAAGCGUUGAUUUACGUGAUUACAAUGGGUGAAUUUUAUGGUAUGUAAAUUACACUUCAAUAAAGCUGGAAAACGUUAAUGAAAAAAUACAUAGGAGGAAUUGAAAAUUACAAGAAAAUAAAAUGAACUUCAGAAAUUUCCUGCAAUCAGACAGGAAAGCUCAUUCCUUCCAUCUGUAGCCUGCUGAAGGAAAAAGUCUACACUCCCCGCCAUCCCAAGUGAGCCCUUGGUUCUGCACUGUGUGGGGCAGAGGACAGGGAAGGACUUUGUGGCCCAGGGGUCUUGUAUUCUGUUUCCCAUCCACUGACUAAUUCCUGGUGAAGUCAGGUAAUCUUCUCAUCUGUGAGGAUAUGGAACCCCAACCUCUUCCUGGACACCUGAUGAUCUGCUUGUGAUGGGCUCAGAGUCUUGAAACACAGAACUAUGAGCUCAUCUCAUAUCCCAAUCCAGCAGCAUGGAAACCUCAGACUGCAAGGCCCAAGACUGGCACUUGUUCUCUCCCAACUCUUUUCUUUCUCUCUCUCCUUUCUUUUAUCCCUUAAUUCCUUCUUGCUUCCUUCCAAGAUUUAUACUAUUACCUUUUAGGCAAAACAUCCUGAACAUGUAAAAUAAACUAAUUAAAAUCAAGUCAAUUUCCCAACUGUUAUUUGUUAAGCCUAUGCAAGAUGUCAAAUUUUAGUCAUUUGCAUACCUAGUAUGCAAUUUUUUCUAUUCUGUGGGCCACGAGUAUUCUUUUCUCUAAGUCAACUAAUUCUUUAACUUAAACCCUGUUUAAGCUUCAUCCUGGCUGGGUGUGGUGGCUCACGCCUGUGAUCCUAGCACUUUGGGAGGCCAAGGCAGGUGGAUCACUUGAGCUCAGGAGUUUGACACCAGCCUAGCCAACAUGGUAAAACCUCGUCUUUACUAAAAACACAAAAAUCAGCCAAGCAUGGUGGCAUGCACCUG
rnacentral:lncRNA from 10 species